GUUAUCGUUUAUUUGAUAGUACCUUACUACUUGGAUAACCGUGGUAAUUCUAGAGCUAAUACAUGCUGAAAACCCCAACUUCGGGAGGGGUGUAUUUAUUAGAUAAAAAACCAACGCCCUUCGGGGCUUCUUGGUGAUUCAUGGUAACUUCACGGAUCGCAUGGCCUUGCGCCGGCGACGGUUCAUUCAAAUUUCUGCCCUAUCAACUUUCGAUGGUAAGGUAUUGGCUUACCAUGGUUUCAACGGGUAACGGGGAAUUAGGGUUCGAUUCCGGAGAGGGAGCCUGAGAAACGGCUACCACAUCCAAGGAAGGCAGCAGGCGCGCAAAUUACCCAAUCCCGACACGGGGAGGUAGUGACAAUAAAUACUGAUACAGGGCUCUUUUGGGUCUUGUAAUUGGAAUGAGUACAAUUUAAACCUCUUAACGAGGAACAAUUGGAGGGCAAGUCUGGUGCCAGCAGCCGCGGUAAUUCCAGCUCCAAUAGCGUAUAUUAAAGUUGUUGCAGUUAAAAAGCUCGUAGUUGAAACUUGG
rnacentral:rRNA from 1 species